AGGCUAUGAUGAACGCAACAUUUCUCGAUCCUGAUAUUGACCAAAGCAAUUAUAUUGCUCUUUGAUGACAGUGUUUGUGCGUGUCUGAGCCUC